CGAUAGCGUAUAUUAAAAUUGUUGCAGUUAAAAAGCUCGUAGUUGGAUUUCUGGGUACUUGAGGUCUUGAUCCUGAUGGUGAAGGACCACAAGCACUCAUCCUUGUGUUAACCGCUCUCGGUCUUUAUUGAUCGGAGUUGGGGCUCACAUACUUUACCUUGAGGAAAUUAGAGUGUUCCAGGCAGGCUUGCGCCGGAAUACAUUAGCAUGGAAUAAUAGAAUAGGACUUCAUCCUUUUUGUUGGUUUAGAGGCUGAAGUAAUGAUUAAUAGGGAUAGUUGGGGGCAUUAGUAUUUCAUUGUCAGAGGUGAAAUUCUUUGAUUUGUGAAAGACUAACUUAGGCGAAAGCAUUUGCCAAGAAUGUUUNCAUUAA
rnacentral:rRNA from 1 species